rnacentral:rRNA from 1 species
GGGGGAAUAUUGCGCAAUGGGGGAAACCCUGACGCAGCGACGCCGCGUGGAGGAAGAAGGCCUUCGGGUUGUAAACUCCUUUGGCAGGGGAAGAAGAAGACGGUACCCUGAGAACAAGCCACGGCUAACUACGUGCCAGCAGCCGCGGUAAUACGUAGGUGGCGAGCGUUGUCCGGCAUUACUGGGUGUAAAGGGCGUGGAGGCGGGGUGUCAAGUCAGGUGUGAAAGACUGGGGCUCAACCUCGGGGAUGCAUCUGAAACUGAUGCUCAUGAGUGUCGGAGAGGAAGGCGGAAUUCCCAGUGUAGCGGUGGAAUGCGUAGAGAUUGGGAGGAACACCAGUGGCGAAGGCGGCUUUCUGGACGACAACUGACGCUGAGGCGCGAAAGCGUGGGGGGCAAACAAG